UCCUUUACUGUCUCUUUUGACUACUUUGG
rnacentral:piRNA from 1 species